rnacentral:misc_RNA from 1 species
UUAUUACGUCAUUGGUUAACUUAUAUAUUGCACCUGUGAUUUAGUUUAUUUAUUGGACGGUAAAAGUAGAACAACGGCCAUAUAACCCUGAAAUAUAAGACAUCGGACUAAUGACUAUUGACAUCUAUCUGGGUAACUGUUGCCGUUAUGAUAUUAAUUAAAAAAAAAAAAUUUUAAGUGCUAUGGCUGACAAAACAAUCAUAAAGAGUAAAGAAAUCGUUUUCAUUUUUUGUUCAUUUAAUGAGUCCGAAAAAGAUAGUCUCAUUCAAAAAAUUAACAGUAUUCCUGGAGGAGUCUACCUAGAUGCACAGCAUUAUAAAAGUAUUUGCAACAUUGUCGUAUGUAAGUCUCCGAAUCAGAAUGAAAUAUACUUAUGCGGUUGUCUUGCAGGUAAAACUAUUGUUACUCCUCAAUACAUCACAGAUUCUUAUACUCUUGGUGAAUGGAUUGAGGAAAAACCAUAUGAGUGGUAUCGUCAACCACUUCAAGUUGGAACAAAUGCAGAUCUGCUAAAACUUCCUUUGCGGUGCAGAGAAUAUGAAAGAUUACACAGUGGAAAGCGUUUAUUGAGCAAUUGGAAAGUUCUGCUUUGCAUUAAAAACUCUAAUUGGAAGAAAGCUUAUCAAAGGCUGCUUGAAGCAGGUGGUGCCAUUAUUAUAAAUUCAAUAGCUUAUCAAGAUGGAAUUACACAUGCUUUUGUGACAUCUGAGUCAUUAAAUGAUCCAUCUUUAAAAAAUUUAAAUUCAGAGAUUAUUCUUCGACCUUGCUACAUUACAGAUUAUAUUGUUAAGAAAAAUAUAAAAAAUGUGAAAAAGUAUCAACUAUUGCAGAAACAUGUUCAACUCUCUACGAAAAUUAAUUCUCCUAAAAAACCUUACUUCACAUGCAAUUCAUCAAACCAAAAGACAAUAAUGGAAUUCUUUAACAAAAAAAGGAAACUCUCUGAUGAUGCUAGGAUUCCAAGCCACAAUAAACAACAAGCUUGUGAUUCACAUAUUCAAUUGCAUAAGAAAUUUGAUUCAUUUGGUUCAACAAACUUAACGUUUUCGCCUCAAUGUUCUGAUAACAAAGAAACUAUUUUUAAGGGUGAUAGUAAAGUGUUUGAUUGCAACACAAAAAAACUAUUUAAUAGUGAUAAUGUUAUUGAAAUAUCAAGUGAUGAAGAUGAUAUAGUCAGUGUAAAUAACAAUGAUUUCACUAACAAACUUUCUAUAACUCAGAGCACUGCUGCUGAUGUGAACAAGCCUCACACCUUUUUAACUCAGAAAAUUGCUACUAGUGUAAACAAACCUCAUACCUUUUUAACUCAGAGCACCGCUGCUGAUGUAAACAAGCCUCACACCCUUUCAAUUCAGAACAUCGCUGCUGGUGUAAACAAAUCUCAUACCGCUUCAACUUGGAACUUUGCUACUGGUGUAAACAAAGCUCAUACCUUUUCAACUCAGAAAAUUUCUACUAGUUUAAACAAACCUCAUACCUUUUUAGAAGUUGAGUUUUUAAAUAAUUCUUUUGAACCUAUUGUUUCAUUGCCAUUAUUAAAUCAAGAAAUUGAAGACUUAAAAAAGUGGCUACAGAUAAAUAUAAUAGAUAAGAUAAUUACUGAAGUUGUUCAAAUAUAUUCUUGUAAUCAUACAUCAGAUUCUUGUAAUCAUACAUCAGAUAGCAACGAUACCUUAGAUAAUAAUAUCACAUCAGAUCAUAAAAGUUUAUUAGAUAACAAUGAUAAAUUAGAUCACAAUGGUUCAUCAGAUAAUAAAAAUAUAUUAUAUAGUAUUGAUACAUCUGUUUACAGUGUUACAUCAGAUAACAGUAAAACAUCUGUUUACAAUGUCACAUCAGAUAACGAAAAUACUUUAGAUUACAGUGUUAUAUCAGAAUACAAUAUUACAUUUAGUAGUAAUGAUACAUUAGAAAACAAUAUUACAUCACCAAAUCGCCAUAAUACAUAUAUAGAGAUAGUUGAAAAAUGUUCUCCUAAGUCAAAGCAAGAAAAAGUUCUAGAUAUUCAAACUAAUUUGAAUAUCCAAGAAAUUGAGAUAGCUAGUUUAAGUCUCAUACCUGACAUUGAUUUUAUAAGAAAAACAAGAAAAAUGACCUCACAGUAUACAAAGCGGACAAUCAAUUCAAAAACUAUGCCAAACCUAAAUUUAAAUGAAAAUAGUCAGCCUGCAGAAAAUAUUUUUAGAAAGGAUGUGCAAAUUAAUUAUCCAAAUAAUUUUAUGCUGCACGAAAAGACAGAAUACAGAGGUUCUAUGUAUCUUUUACGCUCACCUUUACCCUCACGAAUUGAGAGCUUAGUUGAGUCUUAUCUCGAAGAGGGAAGUUUGAAGAAUGCAAUAACUAUAGUGAAGGAAAAUUUAUCAGGGUUUUACUAUCCUUCUGCCAGUAUUAUUUCUCGAUUAUUAGUUAUAUAUUCUCAUGAAACUAAUUUCUCAAUCAGUACAGAGGCAUCUUGUGUGUUACUAAAUAUAUUGUUACUGCAUCCCAUUUCAAAAAUUCCAGAUGUUUAUGAUUUGGCUUUACAAAAACCUAUUCAAGACAAACUUGGCAGUGUUUCUGGAACUAUUACCUCAUGGCAACUUGUUUUAGAAAUUUUUACAAAUGCAACUAAUUGCAUUCAAUCAGAAACUGAUGAAAGUUUAUGGGAACUCAAGUUACAACCAGUUAGGUUUCUUACUUCGAUGAUGGAGCGUGAUCUUUUUCAUGUUUUUCCUUAUGGCUUUGAGAAUUCUGCAACUUCAAAAAGCUUAGAAAAUCUUCGUAAGUUACUAGUGUGGAGAGUGUUUUGGCAAAAUUCAACUGAAAUAAAUAUUAAUUCUAAUGUUAAAGAUCUUUUACACUUGGUGUUUCAUUUAGUUAUAAGCAAUCAAGUAAUGCAGGAACGCAUGAUUCUAAAAGAAUCUUUGAUCAUUCUUUCCUUAGUUGCACGUUGCUGUUUUAUUUCAGACAUGAUUAAAUAUACAACCUUCAUUGGGCGCAUGUGUUUUAAUUUAAUUCAUGAAAUCCAAUCUAAAUGUGAUCAGAAUAUAUCUUCAAACAUUUCUUUUAAUUUGUUGGAAUCUUUUUUUCCCUACCUAAAACCAAAUUGGUUAUCUGGUCGUAUAAUUGAUUAUAUGCUUCAAAGAUAUGACUGUUCAUUUGUAAUGAAAAAAGAUUUAUUAAAGUCACCUUUGUCAAUGGAAAAGAUUGGCAUUUUCAAACAAUUGGCGCAAAUAGAAAUUUAUAAAUCAUUAACUAUACAUUUACGUCUUCACAAAGAAUGGAUUUAAUCUAUACUGAUUGUGGGCAUUUUUAUUAUUAUUAUAUUUGUUAACUGAUGGUAUUUUAAAAACGCUUUAAUUUUUUACAAAAUUAAAAAAACAUGGUUGUCAAACAAAAUUGCGUUGAGGUCUAAUACGCCCACUUCAAGCACUGGCUAUUUUAAAGAGCUGGGAUGAAGUUGAUGCAAACAAUGAGGCGGUGCUGUUGCAAUUUAAUCACCAAAAUGUUAAUGGUUGGAGAAGCAGGGUCUAUUGGUGCCCAAAGCUUGUAGGAAAUCAAUAGUCCAUAAAAAGUUAAGAAAUAGUAA